rnacentral:rRNA from 1 species
GACGAACGCUGGCGGCGUGCUUAACACAUGCAAGUCGAACGGAAAGGCCCUGCUUUUGUGGGGUGCUCGAGUGGCGAACGGGUGAGUAACACGUGAGUAACCUGCCCUUGACUUUGGGAUAACUUCAGGAAACUGGGGCUAAUACCGGAUAGGAGCUCCUGCUGCAUGGUGGGGGUUGGAAAGUUUCGGCGGUUGGGGAUGGACUCGCGGCUUAUCAGCUUGUUGGUGGGGUAGUGGCUUACCAAGGCUUUGACGGGUAGCCGGCCUGAGAGGGUGACCGGCCACAUUGGGACUGAGAUACGGCCCAGACUCCUACGGGAGGCAGCAGUGGGGAAUAUUGCACAAUGGGCGGAAGCCUGAUGCAGCAACGCCGCGUGCGGGAUGACGGCCUUCGGGUUGUAAACCGCUUUCGCCUGUGACGAAGCGUGAGUGACGGUAAUGGGUAAAGAAGCACCGGCUAACUACGUGCCAGCAGCCGCGGUGAUACGUAGGGUGCGAGCGUUGUCCGGAUUUAUUGGGCGUAAAGGGCUCGUAGGUGGUUGAUCGCGUCGGAAGUGUAAUCUUGGGGCUUAACCCUGAGCGUGCUUUCGAUACGGGUUGACUUGAGGAAGGUAGGGGAGAAUGGAAUUCCUGGUGGGGCGGUGGAAUGCGCAGAUAUCAGGAGGAACACCAGUGGCGAAGGCGGUUCUCUGGGCCUUUCCUGACGCUGAGGAGCGAAAGCGUGGGGAGCGAACAGGCUUAGAUACCCUGGUAGUCCACGCUGUAAACGGUGGGUACUAGGUGUGGGGUCCAUUCCACGGGUUCCGUGCCGUAGCUAACGCUUUAAGUACCCCGCCUGGGGAGUACGGCCGCAAGGCUAAAACUCAAAGGAAUUGACGGGGCCCCGCACAAGCGGCGGAGCAUGCGGAUUAAUUCGAUGCAACGCGUAGAACCUUACCUGGGUUUGACAUGGAUCGGGAGUGCUCAGAGAUGGGUGUGCCUCUUUUGGGGUCGGUUCACAGGUGGUGCAUGCCUGUCGUCAGCUCGUGUCGUGAGAUGUUGGGUUAAGUCCCGCAACGAGCGCAACCCUUGUUCACUGUUGCCAGCACGUUAUGGUGGGGACUCAGUGGAGACCGCCGGGGUCAACUCGGAGGAAGGUGGGGAUGACGUCAAGUCCUCAUGCCCCUUAUGUCCAGGGCUUCACGCAUGCUACAAUGGCUGGUACAGAGAGUGGCGAGCCUGUGAGGGUGAGCGAAUCUCGGAAAGCCGGUCUCAGUUCGGAUUGGGGUCUGCAACUCGACCUCAUGAAGUCGGAGUCGCUAGUAAUCGCAGAUCAGCAACGCUGCGGUGAAUACGUUCCCGGG